GGUAAGGGUGAAAUGGUGCGGUAAGAGCGCACCGCGUCCCGCGUGAGCGGCGACGGCAUGGCAAACCCCCUGCGGAGCAAGACCAAAUAGGGAAGCAGUGGACCCGCCCGUGUCCGUUGAAAGCUUCCGGGUAGGUUGCUUGACCACCGCGGUAACGCGUGUGGCAGACGAAUGAUCCUCAUCCGCGAGGAAACAAAAUUCGGCUUACAGAUCCGCUCCACAC
rnacentral:RNase_P_RNA from 1 species